ensembl:lncRNA
CUGGUACAGGCCUGUACUGUACGCACAGAUCCAAUCAAAAACACUUGGAGUGAAGUUUAAAGUGUGUGUUUCUCCCCUUUUCUUUUCUUUCUUUUUUUUUUAUUAUUGACCUCAUUCCAGACUUAGUUUGGGAAUUGCAUGUCAAAUCACCCCCUCCUCUCCCCCCUCCUCUGUCUGGAAACGGGUAAAUGCGUUCCGUUUGUCAAAGCGUGUUAGCGAAGCGCCUGCAGCAAAUUCAUUACCGCCCAACUGCGAGGCUCACUUCGCAACCUGGUCAGGGAAGAAGGAGGGAGAGGUCCACGCCAAAAAAAAAAAAAAAAAAAAAAAAAAACCCCGAACAAUGCCGCCUCAGUUCGUGCGUGCAACAAAAGAACCGAGGGAACUUGUUUGAAUUUCAGAGCACGUCCUCUUCUCACACAGAAGGAUGGACUUUACAUCCCCGCCUCCCCCACCCCCCACCCCUCCUCAUCAUCAUCAUCACCCCCCCACCCAUCCCUUCCUCCUCAUCCGACCCCACCAUCAACAGGGAGAAAAAAAAAAAAACUUGCACACUGUGAGAGCUCAACUGUGCAUGCACUUUUUUUUUCCUAUUUGGUGCUUGUAGACGUUAUGGGAAAGUUGUCUCUCUCCCUUCUCCUCCCCAUCCCUCCCCUCUGUCCUUCUCCUCUCGUCUUGUCAUGUGCUCGGGAUGUGCUCAUGCUUUGCACAGAGAGCAGCUGUAGCACGCCUAAUGCAGGUUACAGAGUGUUAGCGGCAAUUUUAAAGUCCCCCCCCCCCCCCCCCCCCCACCUUCCACCUCCACCCAUCUCCGCCGCCACCAAAUAAUACGGCCGGGAUAUUGGAGGGGAACGUAUACCGCACCACGUACACGCGGAGCCCGCUCUUCCUCUCCUGCUUGGGACGCCUUCCUGACCGCUUGCAAGUGAUUUGACUCGCCAUUAGAAAUGAUGGAGAGAAAGAGCUGUGAAGAAGAAGUGCAGGCAGCAGGAAGUAGAGGUCAACACCAGAUCUCUGGGAUUUUGCUCUCCACUGGACCCACAUGAGGUGGAUGAUUCUCCUGAUCAAGUGGAAAGGAGCCUGAAUUUCAGCAAGAAAGAACCAUCAAGAUAUAUCUCACAUGCUUUAGUGACAAUCUCACUAUGACCUGCACUGUACUUUAUAUUUCUGUAUUUCUGUCAACUAGUUCUAAGAUUGUUGACCAAACUGACAAUCCUCUCAACAAUGGACUGAAAAUAGUCAAUCCAACAAAUUCUUUGACUUUGCUCCAAUAGGCAUCAAUGUAUUUAUUUUUAAAUUUUUAUACGGGAGAACACUUCCCAAAAUAAGAUAAAAAUAUUCCACACAUUAAAACUUGCACCUAUUUCAUGUAAUUGAUUGAGUCUAACAAGGAUAUUUUUUGACAGCUAAAUAAAGACUUUUUUCUCCCUUUAAGUGAUGUUUUAAGUGUGAGUUAUUUCCAUCUUUUCUGUGGCACUCCAGGUAAAGAAAAAUGUGCUUGACAUAAUUGGG